GCCCUACGGGGGGCAGCAGUGGGGAAUAUUGGACAAUGGGGGAAACCCUGAUCCAGCGACGCCGCGUGAGUGAAGAAGUAUUUCGGUAUGUAAAGCUCUAUCAGCAGGGAAGAAAAUGACGGUACCUGACUAAGAAGCCCCGGCUAACUACGUGCCAGCAGCCGAGGUAAUACGUAGGGGGCAAGCGUUCUCCGGAUUUACUGGGUGUAAAGGGAGCGUAGACGGCAUAGCAUGUCUGAUGUGCAAGAUCGUGGCUCAUCCCGGGGCCU
rnacentral:rRNA from 1 species